AGGUUUGCGGUGAGGAUGAAAUUUAACUAGAAGGCACACAAUAGAUCCUUAACAAAUCAGACGCGUUGUUAUUCCCAUUGUGAGAAACAGUAAAGGCAUAAUGGUGCUGCACACGUACAAGACCACAGUACCGUGAAAACAUCACUUUCAGAGGCACUGGGAAACCGAAACAUUCACUGGACUCACUUUACUGUGCCAGUCGAGGACCCUGGUGGCCUGGAACCGAGCCCUCGGGACCGCCGAGGCAAGCCUGUUCCGGCAAGGUUGGUGGAGGCUGACUCAGCUUAACUGUCUUGCACAACUUGUGCAAGAUGGGGAAAGUCAGGGUGUUUUGGCCGGAGACUGCGCCCCCGUGGAAUCUGUGAGCCCCUCCCGUGGCCCCGGUGUGCCCUCCAGCCAUGCUGCCCCAGGCCUGUCCCGGUGCCACCGCGCUGGAGGGGGGGAGCCCUCGCGUCCUGCCAUAGGCAGCCUGCAGCUCGGCCGCGUGCUUUCUCCAGCCCCCGUCCCUGCUGACGCAAAAGCAAGACGGCUGAGGCUGUUGUGACUGGAGUCCCUGGGCGUCACACACAGUCCCCUUGGCCCUGCCUCCCAGCCCAGGGCUCCAGGCUCACUAGCAUGGCCUACUUUAACCAAAGGCUCUCCAACUCGAGUGUCCUCAGAAUCACCUGGACCGCUUAUUAACACAUAAAGUGCCAAGCCCCGAGCCCAGAGGUUCUGAUUCGGCAGGUCUGAGGUGAGGCCCAAGAACACAUAUUCCUGAUAAGGCCCCAGGUGACGAGAGGCUGAUCCGAGGACCACACCUCGAGCCUCGAGAACAGCUUUCCAGCAGUUGCCAGCUGGCCUUGCCUCCCCAGAUGGGCUGAACACACACAUGGCCUCGUCAGGUGGGUCUACCUGGGCUCAGCGCCCCUCCCCCAGAGGCUCCCCUUAGCUGCCCCCAAAAUGCUUCCUCGGGCUUGAUUGGAAACAUGACCUGGCUGUUCUUUUCACUGUCCAGAUGGGAGGCUUUUGUGUGUCCCCAGUGAAGAGGAACAAGGUAGGGAUCUGGUUUCUCAGACACGCAGACGGUUCUGAGCCCAGCAGGUGCGUCUGGGACUGUGGAGGGAAGGAAGGCAGGUGGUGCUGCUGGCCUGUCUCCAGCCUGCGGGGACCACAGCCAGCCGGGUUCCACUUCUGUGCAGAAGCAAACUCCCGCCCCCACAGAGUCCAGGGAGGGCCAGGCUGAGCCCUGGCCAGUGCCAGCUGUCACUCUUCCCCGUCAGCCCUGUAUCCUCCUCCCCUCCCCUUUCCUUUGGACCGCUUCAGGAGACAGGGUGGGUUACAGGUGGGAGCAGGGCCAACGGGGUUAGAAGAACUGGCUUCUAGGAAAACAGUUUCCUCCCCGGUGAAGACGGCAGACACCACAUCCCCACAGCCCCUGACUGCCACGAAGCCGGGAAAGCAAGCGACACCCUUACCUGGUCUGGAGGAAAAGCAGCAAAGGAGAGAAGAGGCCCUACCUCUGGAACUGGGCAGGGAACCCACCACUUCCAACAGGGAGAACUCCUGGGCUUGAAGCAAAGGCCUCUUUCUUCGGAGAGAGUAGCUUGAGCCAGGAGUUUCUGUCCUCAGCAAAAGCUCCAAAUGCACCGAAAACCUGACCUUCCCCAGUCCUCUGAGCUCGAGUCUCCUGCUGCACAGUCCGGGCUGACUUUCCUUCCUAAAGGACACGUGGCCGGAAUGUUUUGCAUGUUCCUGUCACUUCAGCCCCCUCCCCAGACAGAUGAGCUCUCUAGAAAUGGGAAAGAUUCUCCUGAAAUAGAAGGGUUGGCAGGAAGUCUGUCCCGCAGAGCGGACCAGAUCCCAUGAUCAUCCCUGUCCAAGACUCACACGUAGUUUCACAACAAUAACCAGGGAUGCCUUCGAUUAAGAAACCAAACCAAACAAAAAACCCCACAGAUUGUUCAAGCCCGCUCCCAGAAACUGACUCCUCGGACCCAGAAUGGGGCUGUGGAAGUGUUCACAAGCAUCUGACGUGUUCCCAAAGCAACUGGGCUGUGGCCAUCCUUUGUCUAUGCAGGCUCUUACCGCCCGUUUGGUAACCUCUGAUUUAUAGCCAGUUGGUCAGAAGUACAGGGAACUUGCCACUGGUAUCUGAAGUGGGGAUGGGGGCAGAGUCUUCUGGGACUGAAAUCUUGCACAAGUUGUGCAAGACAUUGGGGGAUUACCUGGGCUGUUGAUGAGUGGGGAGAUUCCUCCUGAAACAGUGCUUUGGGGGCUUGGAAGAUCUAAUCACAUCUCUGGGUAGGAAGGAGCCCCCAGAUAACCAACCGAAGCAUCGCCCAGGGCAGGGGGGAGUGUUCAGUGAUGGCCCCUCUGCAGAAGGGCCCACGGGCAACAUCACUGAUCCAUUAGCAAGCAAUGCUGGCCAGACUCCCGACUAAACAGUUAGGGUCCUACUUUAGGAGGGGAUAAUAAUAUGCUCCAUCUGUUGAGAACAAUUCCCAAAGGCGUUCAUCUACGUGAUCUCAUCUGACCCCCGUGACGGAGGCUGCUUUGGAUCCUAUAACCACAGCAGCACCAAAAGAUGGCUGGGCUUCAGCAGAGCCCUGCCUCGAGUUCCCCAAUUCCCCCUCCCACCCCAAGCCUGUAAUCUAAGCAGAAUGGUGUACAUGUGCUUGUAGACAAUUUCCCAGCACAGCCACCUCCUUCCUGAAGGCCCCCUAAGUGCCUCCUAUAAAAAAUUCUGGAGCCUCACUAAUUACAACCAUUUUGCAGAAGAGUAAACUCAGACUCAGGCUUGCCAAAAGUUGCAUAGCUAUGGAAGAAUGGAGUCAGGGCCUUACUCCUCCCUCACUUGGGCCUCAGUCUGCAGAUUGCCCGGGGAAGGCCUCUCUCCUAGGUUCUGCUGCCUCCUUUGGAAAGGGGAAGUGAGAAGCCCCGAGUCAGGAGUGCCUGGUGGCAGUUCCAGCCCCAGACAAGAAAUUUCUGCCGCCCAGCAUCCAUAAGACAGUUGCCUGGAUUGGUCCACAGAGACCCUCAAGAAAGAAGGCCUCCCACACCCAACCUGCCUGGGGGUAGCCGUCCCCGGUUUCCCCAGGGAAGCUCGCUUUCUAAGUCUGCUCCAUGCCCUGGGCCUCCCUGUGAGGAUGUGCGUCAGUGACAGAGGCCGGGAAAGACGUUCCUGGCAUACAGAGGUAGACACUCUAGGCUUCGAAUAAUGAUGAUGAGAGUGAGCCACACAGGUGACCCCCAAAUUUGGGGGGUAUCUGGAAUCUUUUGGCAAGACAAAAAGUCCAACAAACCAAACCCACAUCCUCCUGAGCCAGACAACCAGAGAAAGUGUGAGGUUCAUCUGUUAGGCUCUUUG